CUGGACUAUGGAACAAAGAGCACUUCGAGCAACCGCGGUUGCUUUUGUUCAGCCUGUGCAAUAGAUCAGAAAGAAAGCGAUCGCUUUACGUUGCAGUCGAGUCAAUAUGGAAUGGCCCUAGGACCUGGAGUAUACUUUUCUUGGGAGACCAAAAGAAGACUUCGGUCCCGAACUUGAGUGGAUCUAAUCAAGGCAAACAAUUGCCUGGAGCGGAAGGUGGACACAAUGGUCCCGAAGAAACAGUGGACAUAGUCUUGGGAGACUGCGAUCAGUGCUCCUGCAAGCUCAUUUUACGAGAGGAAUCUGAAGAGGAUGACAACAAAUGCCAAAAAAUAAUGGACAUUCGGUGUACGUGUAACGGAAAUCAUUGUACAAGCAAAGAAAUAUCAAACUGCUUGGCUGACAUGGCUGACACGUCUUAAUAAAAAGAAACGUUGGGGUUGCGGACCACUCAAUAAAGGUAAUAAUACUUACGUAUUCCCAA
rnacentral:lncRNA from 1 species